CCUACGGGAGGCAGCAGUAGGGAAUAUUGGGCAAUGGGCGCAAGCCUGACGCAGCAACGCCGCGUGAGGGAAGAAGGCUUUCGGGUUGUAAACUUCUUUUCUCAGGGACGAAGAAAGGGACGGUACCUGAGGAAUAAGCCGCGGCUAACUACGUACCAGCAGCCGCGGUAAUACGUAGGUGGCAAGCGUUAUCCGGAUUUAUUGGGUGUAAAGGGCGGGUAGGCGGGGGCUCAAGUCAGAUGUGAAAACUCCGGGCUCAACCCUGAGCCUGCAUUUGAAACUGGGGUUCUUGAGUGCUGGAGAGGCAAGCGGAAUUCCGUGUGUAGCGGUGAAAUGCGUAGAUAUACGGAGGAACACCAGUGGCGAAGGCGGAUUGCUGGACAGUAACUGACGCUGAGGCGCGAAAGCGUGGGGAGCAAACAGGAUUAGAUACCCUUGUAGUC
rnacentral:rRNA from 1 species